AAAAUAAGAGUGCCGUCGGCGUCAGAGAAUUUUCAAUUAAUAGCGAUUGGUGAAAUUCAUAGGUAUUUUACAAAACGAUGCUGUCGGCAAGACUUUGUGCUGUGACGAUUCUGUUCUUACUGCUGGGAACAUGCUUCGGGCAAGAAUCUGGAGCCGGAGGAUGCCAAUGUACCAAAAAAUGCCAGAAAGGGUUCUGUAAGCUGGAACGCUGUGGACCGAAGUGCGAAUACGUUGUGUGCUGCCCCGAAAAACACCUACGAUGCAAAUGCGAAAAUAAAAUUGGAUAGGCGUCCAAUAUGACCUUUGACAAAUAACGCCGCCUCGGCCAGCUUUUUCAUUAUAUAAUUAACGUGGUCGUUUGAAGGCAAAAAAAUGGAAAUUAAUUUUCAUGUUACACAUUUUCUUCAACGUUUGAAAAAUAAUACAAUGAACGGA